rnacentral:rRNA from 1 species
UCGAACGGCAGCGCGGGGCAACCUGGCGGCGAGUGGCGAACGGGUGAGUAAUAUAUCGGAACGUACCCUGGAGUGGGGGAUAACGUAGCGAAAGUUACGCUAAUACCGCAUACGAUCUAAGGAUGAAAGUGGGGGAUCGCAAGACCUCAUGCUCCUGGAGCGGCCGAUAUCUGAUUAGCUAGUUGGUGGGGUAAAGGCCCACCAAGGCUUCGAUCAGUAGCUGGUCUGAGAGGACGACCAGCCACACUGGAACUGAGACACGGUCCAGACUCCUACGGGAGGCAGCAGUGGGGAAUUUUGGACAAUGGGCGCAAGCCUGAUCCAGCAAUGCCGCGUGAGUGAAGAAGGCCUUCGGGUUGUAAAGCUCUUUUGUCAGGGAAGAAACGGUGAGAGCUAAUAUCUCUUGCUAAUGACGGUACCUGAAGAAUAAGCACCGGCUAACUACGUGCCAGCAGCCGCG